UACGUAGGGGGCAAGCGUUGUCCGGAAUCAUUGGGCGUAAAGAGCGCGUAGGCGGUCCGGUAAGUCGGUUGUGAAAACUGGGGGCUCAACCCUCAGAGGCCGACCGAUACUGUCGGGCUAGAGUCCGGAAGAGGCGAGUGGAAUUCCCGGUGUAGCGGUGAAAUGCGCAGAUAUCGGGAAGAACACCCGUGGCGAAGGCGGCUCUCUGGGACGGUACUGACGCUGAGACGCGAAAGCGUGGGGAGCGAACAGG
rnacentral:rRNA from 1 species